rfam:Macleaya cordata isolate BLH2017 scaffold879, whole genome shotgun sequence.
GCAUCCAUGGUUGAAUGAUUAAAGCACCCAACUCCUAAUUAGCAAAUUUGUGGGUUCAAUUCCUUCUAGAUGCA